UACGAAGGGGGCUAGCGUUGCUCGGAUUGACUGGGCGUAAAGGGCGCGUAGGCGGUUUGUACAGUCAGACGUGAAAUUCCCGGGCUCAACCUGGGGGCUGCGUUUGAUACGUGCAGGCUUGAGUGUGGAAGAGGGUCGUGGAAUUCCCAGUGUAGAGGUGAAAUUCGUAGAUAUUGGGAAGAACACCGGUGGCGAAGGCGGCGACCUGGUCCAUUACUGACGCUGAGGCGCGAAAGCGUGGGGAGCAAACAGG
rnacentral:rRNA from 1 species